ensembl:lncRNA ADAM7-AS1 ADAM7, ADAMDEC1 and ADAM28 antisense RNA 1
AAAGGUGCCACAGAGGAGACAAAUAUUUUCCCUGAGCCCUCUCUCCCAAUAUAUUGGAAAAAAUACAAGGGAUACACUACUGUUAUGGGACCCUGUCUUAGUCAAGUGGAAUUAGAAGGGAGCUCUUGACCUGCCCAGUGAUGCAAGAUCAACAAGACAAUCAGUAAGAAACGUACAAACAUUAAGAAGAGCCUAUUCAGAAAAGACAGUCUUCCAGUUACCUUAUAAAGGCAAGGAAGAACUGGUAGUUUGAAAUAAAAUAAUUUCAAAAAGUGCUGUACCCCCUGAGUAUUCUGCUGUAAUAAGGUAAGCACCUUUCUCCUUUGUUGAUGCAAUCAUUUACAUCUUCACCCCGCAAACACCUGUCACAUCCUUUUAAAUAUUUGUUUUUCCUUUUCCUAGGAUGAAAUCCCAUAAGUCAAUUUUUUCUCGGGAUUGUGAAGUUCACUGCACACAACCAGCCUUAUUUUACAUCUCUUUCUUUUAUUUCAACCAUCUGGGGACUGGGCAGAAGUCAUGGUCAGAGGGGCACAUAUGUAUUGCUUUGAUGAUGGGGGCAGAGAACAAAC